rnacentral:rRNA from 1 species
GAUGAACGCUGGCGGCGUGCUUAACACAUGCAAGUCGAACGGAAAGGCUCCUGCUUGCAGGGGUACUCGAGUGGCGAACGGGUGAGUAACACGUGGGUGAUCUGCCCUGCACUUCGGGAUAAGCCUGGGAAACUGGGUCUAAUACCGGAUAGGACGAUGGUUUGGAUGCCAUUGUGGAAAGUUUUUCGGUGUGGGAUGAGCUCGCGGCCUAUCAGCUUGUUGGUGGGGUAAUGGCCUACCAAGGCGUCGACGGGUAGCCGGCCUGAGAGGGUGUACGGCCACAUUGGGACUGAGAUACGGCCCAGACUCCUACGGGAGGCAGCAGUGGGGAAUAUUGCACAAUGGGCGCAAGCCUGAUGCAGCGACGCCGCGUGGGGGAUGACGGCCUUCGGGUUGUAAACCCCUUUCGCUAGGGACGAAGCGCAAGUGACGGUACCUGGAGAAGAAGCACCGGCUAACUACGUG